GGGGUUGUGGCUCUGUGGUAGAGCGCUUGCCUAGCAUGUGUGAGGCCCUGGGUUCAAUUCUCAGCACCA
rnacentral:tRNA from 1 species